rnacentral:rRNA from 1 species
UACGAAGGGGGCUAGCGUUGCUCGGAUUUACUGGGCGUAAAGGGCGCGUAGGCGGACAGUUAAGUUUGGGGUGAAAGCCCGGGGCUCAACCUCGGAAUUGCCUUCAAUACUGGCUGUCUUGAGUGUGAGAGAGGUGUGUGGAACUCCGAGUGUAGAGGUGAAAUUCGUAGAUAUUCGGAAGAACACCAGUGGCGAAGGCGACACACUGGCUCACUACUGACGCUGAGGCGCGAAAGCGUGGGGAGCAAACAGG